rnacentral:rRNA from 1 species
GAUGAACGCUGGCGGCGUGCUUAACACAUGCAAGUCGAACGAUGAAGCCCAGCUUGCUGGGUGGAUUAGUUGCGAACGGGUGAGUAACACGUGAGUAACCUGCCCUUAACUCUGGGAUAAGCCUGGGAAACUGGGUCUAAUACCGGAUAGGAGCGUCCACCGCAUGGUGGGUGUUGGAAAGAUUUAUCGGUUUUGGAUGGACUCGCGGCCUAUCAGCUUGUUGGUGAGGUAAUGGCUCACCAAGGCGACGACGGGUAGCCGGCCUGAGAGGGUGACCGGCCACACUGGGACUGAGACACGGCCCAGACUCCUACGGGAGGCAGCAGUGGGGAAUAUUGCACAAUGGGCGCAAGCCUGAUGCAGAGACGCCGCGUGAGGGAUGACGGCCUUCGGGUUGUAAACCUCUUUCAGUAGGGAAGAAGCGAAAGUGACGGUACCUGCAGAAGAAGCACCGGCUAACUACGUG